rnacentral:sRNA from 1 species
AGUUGAUUGGGAAACUCAUCAAUUUUAUGUGAAAUGCCGAGACAAACUCGCUUGCUGAUGGCGGGCCCCACAUCCUUCGGGAUGUUGGCAGCAGCUUCCUUGAGAACCCUGCCCAGGCGGAUUACAAAGGCAAGAGAGAACUCAAAUCCUGUCAUUCGGAGUUUCAUCGCAUCCUUUGAUGUGGCACUUU